AAAGCGUGCGCAGGCGGUUAUGUAAGACAGAUGUGAAAUCCCCGGGCUCAACCUGGGAACUGCAUUAGUGACUGCAUAGCUGGAGUACGGCAGAGGGGGAUGGAAUUCCGCGUGUAGCAGUGAAAUGCGUAGAUAUGCGGAGGAACACAGAUGGCGAAGGCAAUCCCCUGGGCCUGUACUGACGCUCAUGCACGAAAGCGUGGGGAGCAAACAGGAUUAGAUACCCCAGU
rnacentral:rRNA from 1 species